rnacentral:rRNA from 1 species
UACGUGGGGUGCAAGCGUUGUUCGGAAUUACUGGGCGUAAAGCGCGUGUAGGCGGCGCACUCAGUUCGAUGUGAAAGCCCUGGGCUUAACCCAGGAACUGCAUUGAAAACUGGUGGGCUUGAGUCCGGGAGAGGGUCGCGGAAUUCCUGGUGUAGAGGUGAAAUUCGUAGAUAUCAGGAGGAACACCGGUGGCGAAGGCGGCGACCUGGACCGGUACUGACGCUGAGACGCGAAAGCGUGGGGAGCAAACAGG